UUACGGGAGCAUGGAAAGAGCUUGGAAUGGACUAGGCAGUGCAGAACUUUCUCAGUGAAAAGCAGUGCAUUUGGAAAUUCAACCCACCACACGCUUCCCAUAUGGGAGGCUCCUUGGAGGGAAUGAUCAGGAUUGCAAGGAGAAUCCUGGAUUCAAUGUUACUGCAGCACGCGACUUGUAUAACCCACGAAGUUCUUUGCACUCUGAUGGCGGAGGUCACUGCAAUUAUAAAUGCACGACCACUUCUACCUGAAUCCAUAGAUCCACAACAGCCCUUCAUUCUUUCACCAUCAAUGCUCCUAACACAGAAGGCAGGAGCUCCACCUCCACCUGGAGAAUUCACAGAGAAGGACCUUUACACCAAACAAUGGAAGCAAGUGCAAGCAUUUGCAAACCAGUUUUAGAGCUGAUGGAGAAGGGAGUACCUUCUGUCUUUGCAACAGAGACAGAAAUGGAAUAUGCCACGGCGAAAUCUUCAAGUAGGAGAUCUAGUUCUCCUCAAGGACAAGCAGGCUGCACAUAACUACUGGCCUAUGACUAUGGUCACUGCCACGUUCCCCGGGAUUGACAAUUUGGUCUGUAAGGUCGAAGUGAAGACUACAGACCAAGGAACCCCAAAAACAUUUUUGAGACCAGUAACAGAAGUUGUUUUACUCCUGGUCAAAGAUUAGAGUUGUUUGAUGGUCUUAGUGGCCUCACAUAGGCCAGGCGGGGAGUGUGUUGUCCUGAAGUCAAUUGUUAAUAUUAUUUACAUAAUUACUUGAUAAUAUUUUUGUAUUAGUGACUGCAAUGCUUUAAUUUGGAGCUAAAGUUGUGUAUAUUUAUUGUACACUGUAAUCGGUAAACAGCAGUUAGAAGAUGUCACUUCCGCUAAAUAACUUCCUGUUGGUUGACUUCCGGUAUUCGUUCGAAAGCAAGUAAUUCUUGUUGCGGUCUACACUUGUAAUUUCUGUUGCCAUCCUACACAAAGCAGCGAAGAAGCAAUGCCAUCUCCACGUCACUUGUCCUCCUCUCUGGCUGUGAAAACCUGCCGUGGCCAAUUAUGGAGACACAAAGGGAAGGGACAUGGAUGGGUUCCCCAGCAGCAGCAGCAGCAGCAGCACAGGCAGCCAAGCAAGUAGCCUCAGUGUUCCAGUGGAAAGCAGCACUUCAUCUCUUCGUCUGAAGUCCUGCUGUUGAGACACAGCACAAGAAGAUAAUGCUGAUUCCUCACAUCAAGGCUUUCGUUCCUUACGUCGUCGUCUCUUGUUUUACUUCUCAUCUAUGGAGCUCUCAGUUUGUAAACAGAUCCACGCUCAUGUGAUUCGCUGUCUGCAUCCCAACUCUGUUUUUACUGCCCCCUCCUUCCUGCUUCCUCCUGCUCACUGCCACCCUUUGGCUUUUUUUUCUUCCACCUCCCCCACUUCCUUCUUUUUCCUUUGCAGCUGCAAGCUAUUAUUGAAGUAUCACUUAAGAAGACAUACGUGGAAACAGAUUGCAAUCUAGUGGUUACACAGAGGUGGGAGUAAGUCAAUGUAUUACAAGUCUCAAGUACGUCUGUAAUCUUUGAUCUCAAGUCAAGUCAUUAAACAAGAAAGGUCAAGUCAA